rnacentral:tRNA from 5 species
GCGGGAGUAACUCAGUGGUAGAGUGCGACCUUGCCAAGGUCGAAGUCGCGAGUUCAAAUCUCGUCUCCCGCU